rnacentral:misc_RNA from 1 species
UACGUAGGGGGCAAGCGUUGUCCGGAUUUACUGGGCGUAAAAAGCUCGUAGGUGGCUCGUCAAGUCGGUCGUGAAAUCUCUCGGCUUAACCGGGAGGGGUCGUCCGAUACUAGCGGGCUCGAGGCCAGUAGAGGGAAGCGGAAUUCCGGGUGUAGUGGUGGAAUACGUAGAUAUCCGGAGGAACACCAGUGGCGAAGGCGGCUUCCUGGACUGGUUCUGACACUGAGGAGCGAAAGCGUGGGGAGCGAUCCGG